CUACGGGUGGCUGCAGUCGGGAAACUUUUACAAUGCACGCAAGUGUGAUAGAGCAAGCCAGAGUGCGUUUCUAUAACUGAAACGCUUUUAUGUAAUGUAAAAAGUUACAUGAAUAAGGACUGGGUAAGACUGGUGCCAGCCGCCGCGGUAAUACCAGCGGUCCAAGUGGCAGCCGCGUUUAUUGGGUCUAAAACAUCCGUAGCUUGUUUCGUAAGUCUUUUGUGAAAUCCGGCCUCUCAAGGGUCGGGCGUGCAAAAGAUACUGCGUUGCUAGAGACCGGGAGACGUGAAGAGUACGGUUAGGGUAGCGGUUAAAUGCGUUGAUCCUUACUGGACUAACGAUAGCGAAGGCACUUCACGAGAACGGAUCUGACAGUGAGGGAUGAAGGCUAGGGUCGCAAAACGGAUUAGAUACCCUGGUAGUC
rnacentral:rRNA from 1 species